GAUGAACGCUGACAGAAUGCUUAACACAUGCCAGUCAACUUGAACUUCGGUUUGGGUGGCGGACGGGUGAGUAACGCGUAAAGAACUUGCCUCACAGAUAGGGACAACAUUUGGAAACGAAUGCUAAUACCUGAUAUUAUGAUUAUAUGGCAUCGUAUAAUUAUGAAAGCUAUAUGCGCUGUGAGAGAGCUUUGCGUCCCAUUAGCUAGUUGGAGAGGUAACGGCUCACCAAGGCGAUGAUGGGUAGCCGGCCUGAGAGGGUGAUCGGCCACAAGGGGACUGAGACACGGCCCUUACUCCUACGGGAGGCAGCAGUGGGAAUAUUGGACAAUGGACCAAGAGUCUGAUCCAGCAAUUCUGUGUGCACGAUGAAGUUUUUCGGAAUGUAAAGUGCUUUCAGUUGGGAAGAAAAAAAUGACGGUACCAACAGAAGAAGUGACGGCUAAAUACGUG
rnacentral:rRNA from 1 species